GCCAUUGGCCUUAGGGCUGUAUUUAAGCCUGGGCUCUAAUUUUCUUUAUUGGAAAUGUGUUUGGGAUAUGGUGGGUUUUGGUUGUGACUUUUACUUUUAUUCAGCUUUUUACUUCACAUAUUUUGCUUCUAAUCAUAUUUUCUGCCUAUGGACUUGUCUUGUGUAUAGAAUUAGAAUAUAUCUUCCCUUUUGCUUUGUAGUACUUACUGGUGAACCCGUUAGCAGUCCUUUGUUGGCUGGUACUGCACAGCAGUGCCUACAUUGAUAGUUAUUCCUCCCUGGCAGUGACACCUCAGUGUCAAUAUGUGUUUUGUGCCUGUAGAACUGAUGUGUCUGGUCCGUGCUUUGUUCAGAAGAUAUUAGGAGCAUUGAUAGUAAAAGGGUGGAUGGACAGUAGGAUGCAAAGUAGCCAAUGAGAGCUGGAACCUGAAGUGACUCUACAGAAUACAAUGAUGCUUCAGCAGAUUUGCACUGGUUGACCUUUCAGUUGAAGUUGCUAAUUUAAACUUCACUGCCUUAAGAGUUUUGCAUUUAAACUUAUCCUACCUUACGAAAAUUCUCUGACUUGGUCUAGCUAGACCUCUUUGCA